rnacentral:rRNA from 1 species
AUUGAACGCUGGCGGCAUGCUUUACACAUGCAAGUCGAACGGUAACAGGCCUUCGGGUGCUGACGAGUGGCGCACGGGUGAGUAAUGCAUCGGAACGUACCCAGAGGUGAGGGAUAACGCAGCGAAAGCUGUGCUAAUACCGCAUGUGAUCUGAGGAUGAAAGCGGGGGACCGAGCAGCAAUGUUUGGCCUCGCGCCUUUGGAGCGGCCGAUGUCGGAUUAGCUAGUUGGUGGGGUAAAGGCCUACCAAGGCGACGAUCCGUAGCUGGUCUGAGAGGACGACCAGCCACACUGGGACUGAGACACGGCCCAGACUCCUACGGGAGGCAGCAGUGGGGAAUUUUGGACAAUGGGCGCAAGCCUGAUCCAGCAAUGCCGCGUGCGGGAAGAAGGCCUUCGGGUUGUAAACCGCUUUUGGCAGGAACGAAACGGCGUCCGCUAAUACCGGGCGCUAAUGACGGUACCUGCAGAAUAAGCACCGGCUAACUACGUG